ensembl:lncRNA
UUUUUCCUACUAGAUCUCACUAGAAAGUUUGUUUCAUUAUAUGCUUUUCAAGAAUCAUCUUUUGACCUUGUUAAUACAUAUUGCAAAUUUGUUUUCUGUUUCAGUGAUAUAUGUGAUUUCUCUGUCUCUUACUGUCUUCAGAUUAUUCUGUUUUUCAGCUAAAUGAGUUUAGUAUAUUCAUCUUUAAUCUUUCUGUUUUUCUAAUAUAAGCAUCUAAGGUUAUACGUUUUCCUGAAAUUACUGCUUUUUCUGCAUCCCACAGGUUUUGAUACACAGUGUUUCUACUCAGUUCUGUUAUUUUUCAGUAUGCAUUAUUAUUUCUUCUUUAAACCAUCAGUUAUUUAAAGACUUUUUAAUUGAAAAUGUGUUUAUGUGUUUUAUGUAUAUAUUUGUUACACUAUGGAUGGAAUCAAGGAACCCUGAGACUUGCUCUGUUAGGUACUCCGUGGUCAGUUUCUAGAAAUAUUCUAAGCCAAAGAAGAGUGCCGAUCUCACCAACAGGCAGACAGGUGCAGUGAUGUAUAUCGAGUAAAUCGAGCUUGGUAGCUCAGGUUUUCUGCAUUUUUACUGACGCUCACGUCCAGACUCACCCUAUCAGUCUGCCUCUCACCCACUGAUGCGCAGUGAAGUAGAUCCGUCACCCAUCAGAUGAUGCGUUUGUCCAUUCCUCCCUCUAGUUCCGGCCGUUUUAGUCUUGUGUAUUCGGGAGCCAUUUUAGUUUAGAAUCAGUAUGUGCAAAGCAAUUUCAGCGUUGCUACGUCUUAGGGUCUUAGAUCUGGAUGCGUUCGCCGGAGUCCAGUCUUGGUCCCUGCCGCGCUCCAUGCCCAGGCAGGAGGAACUCUUCCACGGCACCCGGCCAGUUGACUCCAAAGGACUUUUAGAGGCAGUGAACUCCUUCCCUCACAAGGAAGUCAGAUUCUUUGUUGACGAUCUCUGCUUGAUUAUACUUGCCAUCUGAUUAGACUCUAGAGCCAGCCUUAUGCAAAGCGCUUUACAAACAUUAUCAUGUUUGAUUCUCAGCUGUUUCAUCUCUCAGUUGUGUCUGACUCUCUGUGACCCCGUGGACUACAGCCCACCAGGCUCCUCAGUCCAUGGGAUUCUCCAGGCAAGAACACUGGAGUGGGUUGUCAUGCCCUCCUCCAGGGAAUCUUCCCGACCCAGGAAUCGAACCCGCAUCUCUUGCACUGGCAGGCGUAUUCUUUACCAUCAGCACUGCCUGAUCUUUACGUUGAGUCUAAAACCAUUCCCCUUUCACAUCCAAUCAUGGGACCUGGCUCUAACCAUCAUUGCAAGCAUUCUCAGCACUGUAAUCCCUUGGAAACCUCAGAAAUAUUUGAAGCUAAUAUGUGUUACAUAACCCUGUCCAACUCUCAUUAGUUUCCUCAUAGAAGCUUUGGACCCUUGCCAUGUUCUGUUCUUACCAUGACUUUUGGAAAAGUAGUCAGUCUUUUUGUUUUUCCUUUUCCAAAAACAAGUCAGUCUUUACAUGCUUCAUUCUUAAUGUGCAGCCUGGUGAGUUAAACCAUUUCUGCAUGUGAGUCAGGCAUGGUAGAGAAAGCCCAGUAUUUUAACAUGAAGUUCUUCAUCUCAGGUUUAAAAAGUCAACCUCAGGACCGCUCAGGUCUCACAUGUGACUCUUCCAUAAGAGAGCUCAGAUUCAGAUUUCCUCUCUGGUGUCACCAGAGCACAGUCUAAUCAACCUAAACUGAGACUCCUCUUUCUGAGUCAGCACCAGCAUGGCUCUGGGGCUGUCUUUUAAUUGUGGGGCCGUGGAAAGCCUUACCUGUGGCAGUUACGAGGGAAUCAGAGGGCAUGACGCACGCAGGGCUGCUGCGCAUUAUGCUUUAUGGCAGGGAGGGACAGGAUGACUCGGUUAGACCGGAGUCGCGGAAUGCGCACACCCUGCACAGCCGUGCCCAGCGCUUGUUUGAGAACCGGAAAUGACUCACGACUGUGAGCUGACCCGUAUGGCAUUCUCGUGCACUGUUGAGACACGUACCAGACUAAGAGUGUCUAUCAUCCUCUCCUGCCAAGGAGCUUCAAUCUCACUCCUAUUGUUUGUAGCUCCUCCUCACUCUUUUAAUGCGGGAGGCUUGGAAAACCCGUAGAAUUUACAUCAAGGUGAAGACGGAAGCAUUUGGCAGCCACGGAUAUUUUUCUUUGCUUGUGUCAUCUUGAUGCAUCAGACCACAGCUUGGACUCAGCUACUUUCUGCCUUCAGCGACUGCCCCUGGGAAGUAGCGCGACACAGUUUUCAAGUUCUAAAGAUCGAUUCACUCACACAAGGGAUUUAUGGCGUCUACCCCAUGGCCAGCCUGGGCAUCCAAUGGUGAACGAGGAAGUCGCAGUGUCUGCCUCGCGGUAGACGUGCUGUGAUGGGGGAAGUACAGACUGUCCCAGGAGUGUGUAAGAUGGGCACACACACCCGUCGGGAGAAAGAGAAGGCCUUGCAGAGAAAACGACAUCUAAACUGAGAUCUAAAGGCCAGGAGAAGUUGGGACGAUUCAAACAGGGAAAGGCCCAAAGUCAGAGUAUGGCACGUCCAAGGAGCUGAAAGAAGUUAGGUGUCGUCUACUUAGGCCAAGUUCUGCCGCAGUAACAAGCGACCCCAAGUCUCCACGGCACCGGACAGUGAUAGAGCAGUGGUUUGUUUCCCACUCCCACUGUGAUGUGGAGAGAAGACUGGGAGGGAUGAGACUGCGGGAGGAAGCGAGGCCGCAGUUCAGACUGGAGAAGACGGAGGCCUGGGCUCAGGCAGUGGCCACGGGGGCCACAGAACAGUGGAUGGGGUCACGGUGCCUAGAGGGGCUGCCCUGGUGGCCCAGCGGUCAAGACUCCGCGCUCCCGACACAGGGGCCGGUUCCUGGGUUCCAUUCCUGGCUGGGGAGCUAAGACUGCAUGCUGCAGGGCACGGCCAAAAAAAUACAAAUACAUGGAAAGUAGAGUUGCAGAGUUGCUAGCUCUUUCUGGUUGACGAGACUUGGAGGGUGGAAGAAAGGAGCCGUGAUCGACACCCAAGUUGCUUUAUUCCAACCACGGAAAAGGGCAGAAAGAUGAAAACCUCUAUAGAGAUGAAUUUAAUAUGCACAACAGCAUGAUAAAUAUUUUAUUGUUAGUAAUUUUAGAACCAUUUUCCUACCAAUCUUGAACACAUCAUGGAGUUGAUGGUCCCAUUGAUCUAUAUUAUUUCUUCUGCCCAAACUCCUGGCACAAGUAUAGUCACAGAACUACAUAAUUCUUGACAGUGAAGUUUCUGGGACACCAAAUGAGGAGGUAUCUACCUAAAACUAGGUCUGUAUUACAAAUCUAAAAUUUCAUCCUAAAACUUGAACUUACGAAGAUGCCACUAGAUGGUUAGGAAAAUCAGACUGGGGCUGAGCUGUUGUCGAGGAUGAAGAAAGUUUCUCUGCCCUUCCAAGUCUUCUGGGUGGUCUGAGAGUUAAAUUGACACGAUCCUGAGGCCUGUGGCUGAAACUCCUCACUCCCAAUGCAGGGAUCACAGGUUCGAUCCCUGGUGGAGGAACUAAGAUCCCACAUGCCACACAGUGCGGCCGAAAGUGUAUUUAAAAAAUAAUAACAAGUGUUCUUGUGGCUCGGCUGGUAAAGAAUCUGGUUGCGAUGCGGCAGGGCUGUGUUCGAUCCCUGGGUUGGGAAGAUCCCCUGGAGAAGGGAAAGGCUACCCACUCCAGUAUUUAUUGGGCUUCCCUGGUGGCUCAGACGGUAAAGCGUCUGCCUGCAAUGCGGGAGACCCGGGUUCGAUCCUUGGGUCAGGAAGAUCCCCUGGAGAAGGAAAUGGCAACCCACUCCAGUACUCUAGCCUGGAAAAUCGCAUGGGUGGAGAAGCCUGGUAGGCUACAGUCCACAGGGUCGCAAAGAGUCGGACACGACUGAGCGACCUCACUUUCACUUUCACUAUGGAGAAGCUGGAACCUUCCCGGAUUGCCAACGGGAAUGUAAAGUGGUGCACGCCAUUCUGGAAAAUAAUCUGGCAGUUCCUCAAAAUGUUAAGCACAGAGUCACCGCGUAACCCAGAAACCCCACUCGGAUGCCAAGAGACUCCACAACAGGUGUUCAAACAAAAACUUGCACAGAAAUAUUCAGAGGAGCAGUAUUUCCAACAGAACACAGAGACCAGUGUCCAUUAUAAAUGGGUAAAUAAAACGUGGCCUGUCGUUACAGUGAUAUUAUUCAGCGAUAAAAAAACUGAGUACUGACACGUGCUGCAAUUUGGAAGAGCCUGGGAAACACUGAGCUAAUGAAAGACAUCCAUCCGAGAAGGCCCCACGAGAUGACUCCACUUACCUGAGAGUCGCAAGUAGUCAGCAGAGAGAGCUGCUCACAGGAGCCGACUGCAGAUCCUCUCGGGAAGAAAACCACUGAGGGGGCUCCUGGCCCCUAAUGCUCUCUGCCUUCAUGCUCUUGUUGCUGCUGAGAGUUGCUGCUGUUCAGUCCCUCAGUCGUGUCCGACUCUGCGACCCUGUGGCCUGAAGCCCGCCAGCAUCCUCUGUCCGUGGAACUUUCCAGAUUCAUCUGUUGAGGUGGACAGAUGACGACAUGCCAGUCCCCCAGCAGAUGCCCAACAUGACAAUACUAGGCGUCUGUGAGGCCAUGGUGAGAAGGCACCACCCACGACCAGGAACGCGACCUCCCCAGACACCGGAUUGCGGCGCUGUGGCGGGCUUGGGCUUGCCGGCCUCCAGAACCACGAGGACUGAGUUUCUGUUCGCAGAACAACAGUCUGUGGAUUUUGUUAGAGCACCGAGAGCUGGCUAAGACGCAGCAGUAGCUGAAAUGUGUCCUACAGAAGGAUGUAGAGUCGAUCCCCUUUUAUGAUGUAAAAAAAUGAAAACAUA